UUCGAGAAAUUACAACUCUGUAUGAAAUUCUGUUACAAUUUUUGUACCACAAGAAGCGUUCUAAAUCGACAAACGCUGCAGAAUUAGUCGUUACAGAUUUUGUUGCCGACAACACACAAAAGUUCCUCCAAAUUGACAUCAGAAGUUGACGUCGUAUGCGAGAAAUUACAACUCUGUAUGAAAUUCUGCUACAAUUUUCGUACCACAAGAAGCGUUCUAAUUCAACAAACGCUGCAGAAUAAGUCGUUAGAGAUUUUGUUGCCGACAAAACACAAAAGUUCCUCCAAAUUGACAUUACAAAUAUUCAAAAUGGAGUUGAAUAAGAAGAAUUUAUUAACAUUACAAAAAAUAUGUGUAUGUAUAUCUAUAACAAUUUCGCCUUUUUGGAUUUAAAGUCACACACAUUGCUCACAGACGACUGUGAUAAACUGACAUGAUUAGCGUUGCCAGCGCCCUUUUGCGAACUUCCUUCAGCCAGUAUCCGAAUUGCCCUCUUACCAGCUACGAAGUAUAUGCUGAUUUAAAUCCCGAAGAAACCAAGACCAAGAAAGGUUCUCAUUGCCUCCCUGCUCCAAGCCAUCAACUCAAUGCCAGUGUCAACUCAAACCCAACAACAUUAUCCAAUGACUAAUUGGUGAGUUUGAAAAGAGUAACCAAAACUUUUCCAGGCACAGAAGGGAUUUACAUUUCUCUGUUUGCUCUCAUGGUAGAAUCAAGGAGGUAAACUCAUGCAAUCAUAUGUUUACAAUUUUUUUCAAAUAUUAUUCAUUUGACAACAUCUCAUUGUCAAAAUAUGUAUUUAUAAAUACAUUGUACAUACACAAAUCAGAGAUGGGAACCAGUUUUUAUGUAGAAAAAUGUGACAAGAUAAAUUACAGAAAAUGCGGAGAUGGGUCCAAUGCCCUUCCAUUGUGCAUCAUGAAAAACAGGCCUAUGUUAUUGACACCAAGAAUUUGCAAUUUUAAGUCGACACUAUUCGAUUUAAAAGUUUUACAAACAAAUGCACACAAUAAUCUGUUCCAUAGAGUGAUG